AGCUCUGUAAGCGUAUACCCAAGUUGUUGCAGUUAAAACGCUCGUAGUCGGAGUUUGGCGGGCGCCCUGGGGCGUCUUUACGGACGGAUUCAGGGCGGCCGCCUUUGUGGAGGGGGGCCCAGCGGAGCUUCAUUGCGUCGCUGUGGUCGCUGCCACCGUUUACUGUGAAUAAAUUAAAGUGUUCAAAGCGGGCGUUUGCCAUGAAUACCUUAGCAUGGAAUAAUAGAAUAGGACCUGUCUCCUGUUUUGUUGGUUUGUGAGGAACGGGUAAUGAUUAAGAGGGACGGUUGGGGGCAUUUGUAUUCCGGCGUCAGAGGUGAAAUUCUUGGAUUGGCGGAAGACAAACGGCUGCGAAAGCGUCUGCCAAGGACGUUUUCAUUGAUCAAGAACGAAAGUACGC
rnacentral:rRNA from 1 species